AGCAGCCGCGGUAAUUCCAGCUCCAAUAGCGUAUAUUAAAGUUGUUGCAGUUAAAAAGCUCGUAGUUGAAUUUCGGGAUCGAAUUGUUGGUCGUGCUUCGGUACGCACUGGCAUUAUCGGUUUCUACCUUCUGAAGAACCGCGAUGUCAUUAAUUUGGUGUCGUGGGGAAUCAGGACUGUUACUUUGAAAAAAUUAGAGUGUUUAAAGCAGGCUUACGCUUGAAUACAUUAGCAUGGAAUAAUGAAAUAGGACGUUUGAUUCUAUUUUGUUGGUUUCUAGGAUCGACGUAAUGAUUAAUAGGGAUAGUUGGGGGCAUUAGUAUUCAAUUGUCAGAGGUGAAAUUCUUGGAUUUAUUGAAGGCUAACUACUGCGAAAGCAUUUGCCAAGGAUGUUUUCAUUAAUCAAGAACGAAAGUUAGGGGAUCGAAGACGAUCAGAUACCGUCGUAGUCUUAACCAUAAACUAUGCCGACUAGGGAUCGGAUGAUGUUAAUUUUAUAAUGACUC
rnacentral:rRNA from 1 species